AAUUGCUGGAAUCACGAUGAGGAACGAGGAAACCCUAGACAAAAAUCCUGCUACACGAGAGACGAAGUAGUUGUGUGGCACAUUUUACCAUCUAAAUAACACUAACCUUAUUACAUCUGAGAAAUGAUCUACUUUUGUCAGGUGAUUUUUAUUGACAUUGUACCAUUAAGUUACGUUUAGCUUUUUUGCUUAUGGUCAAUAAAAUCACCUGCUUGAUGCAUUCACAGUAGAUUUGAAUGGAGCUCUUGGCUUUGAGAACUGAAUUCCAAGGGUGUCUGUUGUAUAUUCAGCCCACGGAGUUCAGUUCUUAAGUUUGGAUGCUCACUGUAUCUGCUCUGACCUACGACCUGAAUCAAAACACCUGCUACUGGACUGGAAGCUCGCAUUCAGACCUGCCUCCAUCAAGCUCAUUAUGUUGUGGCAGCGCAGAGGGGAGAAACUGGCUCUGUGAGUGUUAGUCUUUUCAUAUGCUUAUCCAUGAGAGGCACAGAUGGCCCCUUUUCCGCAUACCCUGGGACCCGCUAUUGAUUAAGCUUCUGCUAUAAAAAAAGACAUAAUUACAUAUGAGACUCUGAAGGAAACCAGACACGGAAGUUCAGCUAUAUGCUGUCCUGUAAAUGUCUCCAUCAAUCAGCUGAGAUGUGAAUUUUUGGCUUGCAUUUCUAGGCUUACAUGACACACAUGCUACAUUCUGUCCCAAAGAGGAAAUAAGAAAUAAGUGUGAAUCGCUGCUUCCUGGCAAUGACCUCAUCAAAGGUCAUGUUUACAUUUCCCUUGUGCAACAGAACUAUUGUGAGAUACACGCACAGGGAGGUUUUUUCAGAAUACGUACUGAUAAACAGAACUAUUUGCUUCCUUUAACCCAAGAGAAUGGUGUAAACCAGCUUCAACUUAAUGUGAACUCUUUUUAUAAUAAUCGACAAGAACAGUAUUACAGUAAGUGCAAUUUUGUGCCCCAGUUAGCCUGGGCUUUGAGUAUGCUGCUGUAUAAAUAUCUAAAUUAUUUAGAGAUUGUGGGCAGUUAAAAAUUCAUAUGACAUAUUACGGUACUUUGGGUCACAGUAUGUUACAGUGUUCUACAGUGUACAGUAAUAAGUAUUAGUAAUGAACAACAUGUACACACUAGAGAAGUACUUUGUGCUGCUUAUACCUAUGAAAAACUAUUUGUGUUAAGGUGAUUUUUUUAGUUUAUGCUUCAAGUCUUUUUUACUCCUCAGCUUCAUACAGGUGUCCUAGAAGAG
ensembl:lncRNA